UUAAGCGACUAAGCGUACACGGUGGAUGCCCUGGCAGUCAGAGGCGAUGAAGGACGUGCUAAUCUGCGAAAAGCGUCGGUAAGGUGAUAUGAACCGUUAUAACCGGCGAUGUCCGAAUGGGGAAACCCAGUGUGAUUCGUCACACUAUCGUUAACUGAAUACAUAGGUUAACGAGGCGAACCGGGGGAACUGAAACAUCUAAGUACCCCGAGGAAAAGAAAUCAACCGAGAUUCCCCCAGUAGCGGCGAGCGAACGGGGAGCAGCCCAGAGUCUGAAUCAGCUUGUGUGUUAGUGGAACGGUCUGGAAAGUCCGACGGUACAGGGUGAUAGUCCCGUACACCAAAAUGCACAGGCUGUGAACUCGAAGAGUAGGGCGGGACACGUGGUAUCCUGUCUGAAUAUGGGGGGACCAUCCUCCAAGGCUAAAUACUCCUGACUGACCGAUAGUGAACCAGUACCGUGAGGGAAAGGCGAAAAGAACCCCGGCGAGGGGAGUGAAAAAGAACCUGAAACCGUGUACGUACAAGCAGUGGGAGCACCUUCGGGUGUGACUGCGUACCUUUUGUAUAAUGGGUCAGCGACUUAUAUUCUGUAGCAAGGUUAACCGUAUAGGGGAGCCGCAGGGAAACCGAGUCUUAACUGGGCGUUAAGUUGCAGGGUAUAGACCCGAAACCCGGUGAUCUAGCCAUGGGCAGGUUGAAGGUUGGGUAACACUAACUGGAGGACCGAACCGACUAAUGUUGAAAAAUUAGCGGAUGACUUGUGGCUGGGGGUGAAAGGCCAAUCAAACCGGGAGAUAGCUGGUUCUCCCCGAAAGCUAUUUAGGUAGCGCCUCGUGAAUUCAUCUUCGGGGGUAGAGCACUGUUUCGGCUAGGGGGUCAUCCCGACUUACCAACCCGAUGCAAACUACGAAUACCGAAGAAUGUUAUCACGGGAGACACACGGCGGGUGCUAACGUCCGUCGUGAAGAGGGAAACAACCCAGACCGCCAGCUAAGGUCCCAAAGUCAUGGUUAAGUGGGAAACGAUGUGGGAAGGCACAGACAGCCAGGAUGUUGGCUUAGAAGCAGCCAUCAUUUAAAGAAAGCGUAAUAGCUCACUGGUCGAGUCGGCCUGCGCGGAAGAUGUAACGGGGCUAAACCAUGCACCGAAGCUGCGGCAGCGACACUAUGUGUUGUUGGGUAGGGGAGCGUUCUGUAAGCCUGCGAAGGUGACCUGUGAGGGUUGCUGGAGGUAUCAGAAGUGCGAAUGCUGACAUAAGUAACGAUAAAGCGGGUGAAAAGCCCGCUCGCCGGAAGACCAAGGGUUCCUGUCCAACGUUAAUCGGGGCAGGGUGAGUCGACCCCUAAGGCGAGGCCGAAAGGCGUAGUCGAUGGGAAACAGGUUAAUAUUCCUGUACUUGGUGUUACUGCGAAGGGGGGACGGAGAAGGCUAUGUUAGCCGGGCGACGGUUGUCCCGGUUUAAGCAUGUAGGCUGGUUAUCCAGGCAAAUCCGGAUAAUCAAGGCUGAGGUGUGAUGACGAGGCACUACGGUGCUGAAGUAACAAAUGCCCUGCUUCCAGGAAAAGCCUCUAAGCAUCAGGUAACAUUAAAUCGUACCCCAAACCGACACAGGUGGUCAGGUAGAGAAUACCAAGGCGCUUGAGAGAACUCGGGUGAAGGAACUAGGCAAAAUGGUGCCGUAACUUCGGGAGAAGGCACGCUGGUGUGUAGGUGAAGUCCCUGCGGAUGGAGCUGAGACCAGUCGAAGAUACCAGCUGGCUGCAACUGUUUAUUAAAAACACAGCACUGUGCAAACACGAAAGUGGACGUAUACGGUGUGACGCCUGCCCGGUGCCGGAAGGUUAAUUGAUGGGGUUAUCCGUAAGGAGAAGCUCUUGAUCGAAGCCCCGGUAAACGGCGGCCGUAACUAUAACGGUCCUAAGGUAGCGAAAUUCCUUGUCGGGUAAGUUCCGACCUGCACGAAUGGCGUAAUGAUGGCCAGGCUGUCUCCACCCGAGACUCAGUGAAAUUGAACUCGCUGUGAAGAUGCAGUGUACCCGCGGCAAGACGGAAAGACCCCGUGAACCUUUACUAUAGCUUGACACUGAACAUUGAGCCUUGAUGUGUAGGAUAGGUGGGAGGCUUUGAAGCGUGGACGCCAGUCUGCGUGGAGCCAACCUUGAAAUACCACCCUUUAAUGUUUGAUGUUCUAACGUUGGCCCCUUACCGGGGUUGCGGACAGUGUCUGGUGGGUAGUUUGACUGGGGCGGUCUCCUCCCAAAGCGUAACGGAGGAGCACGAAGGUUAGCUAAUCCUGGUCGGACAUCAGGAGGUUAGUGCAAUGGCAUAAGCUAGCUUGACUGCGAGCGUGACGGCGCGAGCAGGUGCGAAAGCAGGUCAUAGUGAUCCGGUGGUUCUGAAUGGAAGGGCCAUCGCUCAACGGAUAAAAGGUACUCCGGGGAUAACAGGCUGAUACCGCCCAAGAGUUCAUAUCGACGGCGGUGUUUGGCACCUCGAUGUCGGCUCAUCACAUCCUGGGGCUGAAGUAGGUCCCAAGGGUAUGGCUGUUCGCCAUUUAAAGUGGUACGCGAGCUGGGUUUAGAACGUCGUGAGACAGUUCGGUCCCUAUCUGCCGUGGGCGCUGGAGAAUUGAGGGGGGCUGCUCCUAGUACGAGAGGACCGGAGUGGACGCAUCACUGGUGUUCGGGUUGUCAUGCCAAUGGCACUGCCCGGUAGCUAAAUGCGGAAGAGAUAAGUGCUGAAAGCAUCUAAGCACGAAACUUGCCCCGAGAUGAGUUCUCCCUGAGACUUUAAGUCUCCUGAAGGAACGUUGAAGACGACGACGUUGAUAGGCCGGGUGUGUAAGCGCAGCGAUGCGUUGAGCUAACCGGUACUAAUGAACCGUGAGGCUUAACCUU
rnacentral:rRNA from 1 species